AUGUCAACUCUCACACCACUACAAGAACAACAGAUCAAGCACCACAGGCACACGCACACCACCCGUAAAUCCUCCCUGUCGAUCGACACACACCUAACAAGCAACCUUCAGCAGCUUGUGAUGGCUGACAUGGUUCGGCUUCGGAGCACCGUGAUGUUCCUCGUUGUGUUUGGUGCCGUCAUGCAGAUGCAACUGGGCUCCGUUGUGCCCCUCGCGGCGGCCGCCAGAGUGCUGCGGGAGGCUAACGUCGGCGUGGAAGUCGCCGCUAAGGCCGGCGUGGGAGGGGUUGGAGUCGGCGCUAAUGCCAAGGCUGGAGGCAAACAUUUCAAACACAAAAAGGCUGGAGACAAAGGUGCUAGCCCUGCCCCGCCCCCAUCCGCCGUCGACUGCGGCGACAACAGCGACCCCUACGUCAGCGGGGGCGGGGUCGGCAACGGCGGCGGCUAUUACGAUUACGGCGACUACCCCUGA
rnacentral:rRNA from 1 species